rnacentral:tRNA from 1 species
GGGGAUUUGGCUCAAUGGUAGAGCGCUUGCCUAGCAAGCACAAGGCCCUGGCUGGGUUCAAUCCCCA